UAUUUAUUAUUAUAAGUUUUAAAAAUUUCUUUAAUUUUUCUAAGUCACCUUAUUUGGUUUGAAUUUGCUAAAUUGUGUGUAGUUCCCUUGGGAAUCGCUCAUACGUCAUCGUUUAAGUUAUAUACAGAGGUAUCAUGCGGAAUCCAUUUUUCAAUUUCCUGAGAGAAUUUAGGCGUAUAAAUAAACACCUACGCCCCGUUGAAACUGCGAAAGCUGCUGGUGCGGCUUGGCGAAACAUGACAGAAACGGAGAAGCAAUACUAUGCUGCUAAAAAACCUGCUCAGAUUAAAGGUCCAACACCUAACAUAUGCAAGAAAUGUCAUAGGCCAAAGCGAAACAAGCCCCCUGGUCUAAGUGUUAAUAAUCCAGUACAUAUUAAGGCAUCAGAUAUUCAAAGAAAUAACAAGAAACGUAAAGGGAAAAAGAAGCAUGUGAAUAAGAAGAAAAAACUUUUGCAAACCCAAAACUAAAAAGAAACUUGUGUAGACUGGAUAGAUCGGUGGGUUGCAAAUAACAAUCUGUGCAAAUAAUAACCACGCUUUAGAAACUCUAAACCUACAUCCAGUCUAAUAAAAAUGAUGCAUCCACAAACACCUGCGAUGUCUCAUAGAGAACAUAAGCUCUUGUCAAAACCAUAAGUGUGAAGCGGUAACGCAAAGUAAUCAUCAUGAAGAGCUUAAAUAAAUUAAACGCUAUAGCAAUAAAUCCAUCUCUUCACUAUUAUCGACCAAAUGCCAAAUUUCAUGAAGUGAUGAAGAAUGUAUAUGAAAUGAACAGAUUAUAACCUGAAUAUGUGAUAGGUGAUGUUCAGCUAAAUAUCUUUAAAUGUACAAAACGCAAUGACCUUAAAUAUAAAUUUAAAAAUAAACCUAAAUAUGUAUAGAUUCACUGCUUAAUUAACAAGACUUAGUAGAUAUAUGCAGUAGAUACAUGCGGUAGAUGAUAUAAGACCUAAAUCAAUAUUUAUAAAAAACUAUUAUUAUUUUGGAGCAAAGUAUGAUUAUUUUAAUACAAUACCAGGACAAUAUUGAAAAUUUUAAUCACUAUAAGAAAAUGAAGAAAAACGCGAAACAAAGCAACGGAGAAAGAAUUAUUAAUAAUUACUAAUAUUAAAAUUUAAUAACUAUAACUACCU